GCGCGAAACCUUCGCAAUGCGCGAAAGCGUGACGAGGUUAAUCCGAGUGGUUCCCGCUGAGGGAAUCUUUUGUCGGCUGUAAAAAGGCCGGCGAAUAAGGGGAGGGCAAGUCUGGUGUCAGCCGCCGCGGUAAUACCAGCUCCUCGAGUGGUCGGGGCGAUUAUUGGGCCUAAAGCAUCCGUAGCCGGUUCCGUAGGUCCUCUGUUAAAUCCAACGGCUUAACCGUUGGCCCGCAGAGGAUACCGCAGGACUAGGAGGCGGGAGAGGCAGACGGUACUCUACGUGUAGGGGUAAAAUCCUUUGAUCCGUAGAAGACCACCAGUGGCGAAGGCGGCCUGCCAGAACGCGCUCGACGGUGAGGGAUGAAAGCUGGGGGAGCGAACCGGAUUAGAUACCCGGGUAGUCC
rnacentral:rRNA from 1 species